rnacentral:lncRNA from 1 species
UUAUUGUUGACGACCAUGGAUGGUGAGGAUUUUCCAUCCCCUGUGAAUGCGGACGCAGUUAAAAAAUACUUCGUAUAAGAGACCCGUUGGACGGAAAGAAUAAAAUAGUCCAGGCAAAAAUGGGCAUCCCGGCGAACCAAAAAAAAAAGCAAAAAAAAAUGAAAAUGAAAAAGGUUCAGGCAAAAAUUAGGGAUAAAAAGGAAAAAAC